GAUUCUGGCUCAGGAUGAACGCUGGCGGCGUGCCUAACACAUGCAAGUCGAACGGACUUUAAAUUGAAUGAGACUUCGGUUGAAGGAUUUUAAAGUUAGUGGCGGACGGGUGAGUAACGCGUGGAGAACCUGCCCUGUACAGGGGGAUAACAACCAGAAAUGGCUGCUAAAACCGCAUAAGCGCACAGUACCGCAUGGUACAGUGUGAAAAACUCCGGUGGUACAGGAUGGCUCCGCGUUGGAUUAGCCAGUUGGCGGGGUAACGGCCCACCAAAGCGACGAUCCAUAGCCGGCCUGAGAGGGUGGACGGCCACAUUGGGACUGAGACACGGCCCAGACUCCUACGGGAGGCAGCAGUGGGGAAUAUUGCACAAUGGGGGGAACCCUGAUGCCAGCGACGCCGCGUGAAGGAAGAAGUAUCUCGGUAUGUAAACUUCUAUCAGCAGGGAAGAAAAUGACGGUACCUGACUAAGAAGCCCCGGCUAACUACGUGCCAGCCGCUGC
rnacentral:rRNA from 1 species